rnacentral:lncRNA from 1 species
UACUAAUAACUGAGAAAGAAAUGAAAAAUCGAGAAUAUUCCAAAAAAAUCCAGGUUUGAGUAGUCAAUACCUGAAGUUGGAAAUUGAAAAAAAAAAAUGAAGACCAUGAGAAUUCAAAGAAUCCAAGCUUAAGAAAUGCCGGAGCAUUAACCACUGUACAGGACCAAACAUUAUUUGCAACCCAAAUUAGUGGUAAAAGAACUAAUAUCAUUCACUGAUUCACUAUAUUCACUAUAUUCCUCACUGAGCUCGCAUUCAGGAAAUGCGAGCUCUGUGAGCUCGCAUUUCCGGAAUGCGAAGACCCCCAUUUGUAGAACAACUUCCAAAAAUCGCCCCAGUUGUAGAAUCCUUUUUUUUUUUCAUCAUAAACUAAGAAUUCACCC